CAUCUCAGCAGAGAAAUCAAAAGAAUUUGUGGGAGAUAAAGCAAUUAUUGAGGGAAGCUCCUCUUGAAGAAAAUCGGAAGCGCGAACUAUCGUGUGCACUCCAUCUACUAUUCAAGGACUGGUUAUAUGCUUCAGGCAAUAUACGUCAGCUUUACUGCCUUCAAGGUGAUUGAUGUUGAAUAAUGAAUGUAUCGCAUAACCAAAGUUGGUAACAGAAGGCAGCUUUCUGGUACUUUUUCUGUUGCAGCUCCAAUUUUAUCAGUAGUAGAGGCAGCUGAGAAUCAUCCCUUUGUACUUUGGAAUCGAACACAUUUGUCCGAUGACAGUGGUGCACAGAA
rnacentral:misc_RNA from 1 species